AACGAGCGCAACCCUUUCGUCCAGUUGCCAUCAUUUAGUUGGGGACUCUGGAGAGACCGCUGCAGUAACAAUGCAGAGGAAGGUGGGACGACGUCAAGUCAUCAUGGUCCUUAUGUCCAGGGCUACACACGUGCUACAAUGGUAGUUACAGAGGGCAGCGAGGCCGCAAGGCGGAGUUAAUCUCAGAAAAGCUGCCACAGUUCGGAUUGAGGUCUGCAACUCGGCCUCAUGAAGCUGGAAUCGCUAGUAAUCGCGUAACAGCAUGACGCGGUGAAUACGUUCCCGGGCCUU
rnacentral:rRNA from 1 species